UCGGAGUCAUGGUGUCGGCU
rnacentral:misc_RNA from 1 species